ACGAACGCUGGCGGCUUGCUUAACACAUGCAAGUCGAACGGAAAGGCCCUGCUUUUGUGGGGUACUCGAGUGGCGAACGGGUGAGUAACACGUGAGUAACCUGCCCUUGACUUUGGGAUAACCUCAGGAAACUGGGGCUAAUACCGGAUAGGAGCUCCUGCUGCAUGGUGGGGGUUGGAAAGUUUCGGCGGUUGGGGAUGGACUCGCGGCUUAUCAGCUUGUUGGUGGGGUAGUGGCUUACCAAGGCUUUGACGGGUAGCCGGCCUGAGAGGGUGACCGGCCACAUUGGGACUGAGAUACGGCCCAGACUCCUACGGGAGGCAGCAGUGGGGAAUAUUGCACAAUGGGCGGAAGCCUGAUGCAGCAACGCCGCGUGCGGGAUGACGGCCUUCGGGUUGUAAACCGCUUUCGCCUGUGACGAAGCGUGAGUGACGGUAAUGGGUAAAGAAGCACCGGCUAACUACGUG
rnacentral:rRNA from 1 species